rnacentral:rRNA from 1 species
AACUAACGCUGGCGGCGUGCCUAACACAUGCAAGUCGUACGAGAAAGUUGGCUUCGGCCGAUGAGUAAAGUGGCGCACGGGUGAGUAACGCGUGGAUAAUCUGCCUUUUAGUUGGGAAUAACGUACCGAAAGGUGCGCUAAUACCGAAUAAUACUGAAUGACAUCAGUUGUUUAGUCAAAGAAGGCCUCUGCUUGCAAGCUUUUGCUGAAAGAUGAGUCCGCGUACCAUUAGCUAGUUGGUGGGGUAAUGGCCUACCAAGGCGACGAUGGUUAGCUGGUCUGAGAGGAUGAUCAGCCACACUGGAACUGAGACACGGUCCAGACUCCUACGGGAGGCAGCAGUGAGGAAUAUUGCGCAAUGGGGGCAACCCUGACGCAGCAACGCCGCGUGAGUGAGGAAGGUUUUCGGACCGUAAAGCUCUGUCGAGCGGGAAGAAAUGUAUGGUGGCUAAUAUCCAUCAUGCUUGACGGUACCGCUAAAGG